GGUAUUACACCGGCGGAGCGGAUUACAUUGAUGUUGUAAAAAAGAAGAUGUUAGUCUUUAAUACCU
rnacentral:tRNA from 1 species